rnacentral:lncRNA from 1 species
UUGAUUCACACCCACCCUCCGCCUUCCCUUUUAUGGUUAAUGGCGUUCUUCUUUUUUAUAAGGAGGGAGAGCUGUGUAGUGGUUAAGCACUGAGUUCAAAUACUAGCUUUUCCACUUGGUAGCUGUGUGACUUUAUGCAAAUGGAUUAAACACUCUGUGCCUCCGUUUCCUCUUCCAUAAAAUGGGGACAAUAAUAACACCUAGUUCACAGGAGUGCUGUGAAAUUUAAAUGGCUUUAAAAUGUGUCACGGGAUUAGAAGAGCAUUUGGCUAACAACGACUAUUAGUAAUUGACGUUCUUCCAGUUGGUCAGAACAAAAUCCUAAGCAGGAGCCUUUAUUUCUCUCUUCCCCUUACACAGCACAUCCAAAUCCAUCAGCAACUGCUGUCCAUUCCCUCUCAGACGCAUACCCCAAAUCUGACCUCCUCUCACCAUCUCAGUUGUUACCAACCUAGUCCAAGCCGCAUCAGCACUUCCAGGGGCCUCCUAACCAUUCUGCCUGCUGCUGUCAUGGACGUCCUCGCCACGUCAGUUCUCCAAACGGCAGCCAGAGUGAUCUUUCUAAAAUGUACAUCAGAGCUGACCCCUCCUUCUCAGAUUCAGACCCUAAGUCAUACCCCUUACCAUGGGGGACAAGGCCCUGCCUGUUGUGGCCCAGGCCACCUCUGACACCUCUCCCCUACCACCUCCCCUUCCUCCCCUGGCUCUGAACGUCACUUGGUCCCUCCUUUACUCUUGUUGUCCCCUCUGCCUAGAAUAGUGCCAGACUCCAGGAGAUGGAAGGAGGGGCUGUUGGCCUAGAGUGGUGAGGGGAAGUUCCUGGGAGGAGGCGACGUGUGGGCGCGUUUGAAUGAAGUAGUGGAGAAAGCACUGCGAAUACCCGAUGUGGGGAGCAUAGUACACACAUUUCUUUACAACGACUUUAUUUUCUACUAUGGUGCUCGGGGAGGCUCCCAAACCCCUGCAGGGAGGGAUCCACAGUUUUAAGACAGCCUUGGGUGUGGGGAUGCAGACCUGGUCAGCUGGAGGGGUUCUGCUCGGCCAGUAGGUACCACUUCCUGCUCCCACAUCAGCCGGAGCGUGGCGUGAAGGGCUGGUGGCGGCGAGGACACGCCGGGGGAUUACCGCCUGCCUGGAGCAGCAGCCUCAGAGCGAGGAGCCAUUCCAGAAUGAUGAUCGGCAAGCUGCCUCCUGGAUUCCUCUACUCUGUGCAACCCAGGACCCACCCCAGCUUUCAGGCCGUCGUACUUGCACCUGGGGGAAAAGGGGGUGAGAGGGGAGACUCAGCAUCUUGGCUCCUAUUUGUCUGGGAGGGAAAUCUGACAUUUUUAGUAGACAAUUAAAAUGCUUACUUUGAAGAAAGUAGAGACCCGGUUGCCUGGACACAGUCAGGAAUACAUACCAUUGAAUCUGCGGGUGACCUAUAGUUGCUUUGUCCCUAUUUGAGUAUCCAAAGUGUUAAGGGGAAAAUGAGACAGCUCUAAAAAAUAACUCUUGCGCUUUCUCUGCUGGUCCUCUGGGUGUGUGUGUGUAUGCAUCACACGCCCACACAUAUGCACGUAAUAAAUGGCUUAGUGUAAAAACCCUGCGACA